GGAAGCGACCCGGCCGGAUGAGGAGCUUGUCUCGAAAACAAGUAACGGGUUCACCCCCGUUGUGGGUUCGAGUCCCACCGCUUCCG
rnacentral:tRNA from 1 species